rnacentral:misc_RNA from 1 species
GGAAGUAAAAGUCAUAACAAGGUUUCCGUAGGUGAACCUGCGGAAGGAUCAUUACAGUAGUCACCCAGGUUGCCGCAAGGCCUCCUGGGUAACCUACCACCCUUUGUAUAUUACACUUUGUUGCUUUGGCAAGCCUGCCCUCGGGCUGCUGGCUCCGGCCGGCGAGCGCUUGCCAGAGGACCUAAACUCUGUUUGUCUAUACUGUCUGAGUACUAUAUAAUAGUUAAAACUUUCAACAACGGAUCUCUUGGUUCUG